GGGUAAUUGACUGCUCUGUAAUUCCUGGUCUGAUCUUUGUCGUGUUUAUGCAAUAACAUAAUGGUUGCAAUUCUCCAAUCCUCCAGCAACAUCUCAAGUCCAAGUAAGACUGAAAGAUUAUGAAAUUUCAAGUCUCAUUUUCUUUAAUGUACAUCACAUUUAGUCCACGUACAGGUAGACAUUCCUUUAUCUGAAACCCUGAACUCUGAAAAGCUCCGAAAUCCAAAGGCUUUCUCAUGAAGUUUUUUUCUAAUUAACAAGGUUGUUUGGCAUGCAAACAGUUAACCUAAGUCGACACCCACUCAAUGCAUAUCACUCAGAUGUGAUGUGUGGGGUUGUGGCCCAGCAUUGACAGGCCUCAAUUCUGUUUCACUCACAGUGCACCUGCUGUUUGGUAUCUCCACUACAGAAUUUACAUGGUCCAUAUGAAAUCUGCUGAUCAGCUGACAAACAAACUUGAGCUACGCAAACUACAAACUACUCUGUUUAAAAGGAAGAAGCAUACAUUUCAUGCAGUAAUUAUAAAGGUUGCCAAGUGAAAUUUGAUGACCAGUCCCCAGCAUGCCUCAGCAGUUGCUACCGUGAAGCUCCAAUGGUUAACAGCAGUCCUUCCAUAUUUUACGUAAUGGAGGAAUGGGGCAUAUCUGGCUAACAUGCGCUCAUCAGGGAUCACUGGAAAGAUAUUAAUGGACCAUGACAACUGAAUCCUCCUUCUCUCAUUGAAAACUUCUUCCCAGUCUUGAGCAGAUGUCCCAAACCUUGGUGCCAGACAAACAACACCGCUGCCUGGAUUCUCACUAAUUGUUACAGAAAAUGGUGUCAAUCCCACUGACUAUACUGCUUUAAUAUAUUCUUUUUCAGUACCACUUGAAUGGUUUCCUGUACAAUAGCUUCCAUGAUCAGUUAGCGCAUUACCCUGGAGCCCUCUAUCUCAUCCAGACAACAAGUUGAAAGAACUUCAAACCUGUUGAACAAUUCUAAAGUCUGAGUCUCCUCCUGCCUCUGGUCUCUUUUUAAUGCCUCACUCACUGUCAUAAACUCCUGCAUCUGGAUAGUAACCAAUUCAGAUAGUACUGUAAGCAAUUCCCUGCAGAAAUCAUUCACAGACAAUUGGAAAUUAUUUGCAGCAAACUACUAACAAGUGAACCAC